CUGAAACAAGCAGUCGACUUCCGUCCGUUUUGCCCUACAAGACCGCCAAUCGGGUGAACUGCGCAUGCGCAGCCCCGUGUCAUUAGCUUAGCCCAGUGUAGCUUAGCGUAGUCUCACAGAAGGAGCACAGUGCGGGAGUACAGUAAAGGUGCUGCUGGUUAGCUACAUGCUAUUUGAAGGAGCUUCGUGUUUGUUUUAGCUGGACACACGUCGUUAAGAAUGAGGAAGGACGUGAGGAUAUUACUAGUCGGGGAACCUAAAGUGGGGAAGACGUCGCUUAUCAUGUCGCUGGUCAGUGAAGAAUUCCCUGACGAGGUCCCGCUGCGUGCGGAGGAGAUCACCAUUCCUGCGGACGUCACCCCCGAGAGAGUGCCCACACACAUCGUGGAUUACUCGGAAGCAGAGCAGUCUGAUGAACAGCUGUACCAAGAGAUCUCUAAGGCGAACGUCAUAUGCAUAGUGUACUCGGUAAACAGCAAAAAAUCUAUUGAGAAGGUGACGAGCCACUGGAUUCCCCUCAUCAACGACCGAACAGACAAGGACAGCAGAGUACCCCUGAUUCUUGUCGGGAAUAAGUCAGACCUGGUGGACCACAGCAGCAUGGAGACCAUUCUGCCCAUCAUGAACCAGUACUCAGAAAUUGAGACCUGUGUUGAGUGUUCUGCAAAAAACCUGAAGAAUAUCUCUGAGCUGUUCUACUAUGCCCAGAAGGCCGUGUUGCACCCUACAGGCCCCCUGUACUGCCCAGAGGAAAAGGAGAUGAAGCCUUCUUGCAUCAAAGCGCUUACUCGCAUCUUCAAAAUAUCUGACCUGGACAACGACGGCAUUCUCAAUGACCACGAGCUCAAUUUCUUCCAAAGAACCUGUUUUAACAUGCCGCUUGCUCCUCAAGCUCUGGAGGACGUGAAAAACGUUGUGCGGCGAAACAUGACCGAUGGCGUGAGGGACAAAGGCCUCACUCUUAAAGGUUUCUUGUUCCUACACACUCUCUUUAUCCAGAGAGGUAGGCAUGAAACCACGUGGACUGUGCUCCGAAGGUUCGGCUAUGAUGAUGACCUGGAACUCACUCAGGAAUACCUGUUUCCGCUGUUAAAAAUACCUCCACACUGCACCACAGAGCUGAACCACAACGCGUAUCUCUUCCUGCAGAGUGUCUUUGACAAGCACGACAAGGAUCGAGACUGCGCGUUGUCUCCUGAGGAGCUGAGAGAUCUGUUUAAGGUCUUCCCCUACAUGCCCUGGGGCCCUGACGUCAACAAUACAGUGUACACCAACGACCAGGGCUGGAUCACCUACCAGGGCUACCUGUCUCAGUGGACGCUAACAACGUACUUGGAUGUACAGCGCUGCUUGGAAUAUCUGGGUUACCUUGGUUACUCUAUCAUUCAUGAGCAGGACUCACAGGCUGCUGCCAUCACAAUCACCAGGAACAAGCACAUUGACCUGCAGAAGAAGCAGACCCAGCGCAGUGUGUUUCGGUGUAACGUCCUGGGAGCACGCGGGAGUGGCAAGAGUGGCCUCCUGCAGGCCUUUCUGGGCAGGAACUUAGCUAGACAAAAGCAGAUAAGAGAAGACCACAAAUCCUACUACGCCAUCAGCACCGCAUAUGUCUAUGGACAGGAGAAGUAUUUGCUUCUGCAUGAGAUUCUCCCAGACAUUGAUUUCGUCUCGGAAGCUGAUCUGGCCUGUGAUGUUGUCUGCCUUGUGUAUGACAUCAGUAAUCCUCGCUCUUUUGAAUACUGCGCAAAGGCCUAUAAGAAAUACUUCAUGGACAGCAAGACUCCAUGUAUGAUGAUCGCUGGCAAGUCAGACCUGCACGAGGUUCGCCAACACUACAGCACGACUCCUCUGGACUUCUGCAGGAGGCACAAGCUGCACCCGCCGCAGCAGUUCACCUGUAACACAGCUGAGGCUCCCAGCAGAGACAUCUACACCAAACUCACCACCAUGGCCAUGUAUCCCCACGCCAAGCUCCGCUGCAUGUGUGCCUGCAACAGGUGCACUUUUUGCAUCAGUCAGAACCUGCUGAACAGUGAGCUCCUGCAUUCGGUCAGGGCCAAACUCUACAGUGUCAUUGUGAACAGGUCUCUAAGCUCAGCCCUGUCCUCCUCCUGCUCUUUAUGGCCACCUUUAACCUCCGUUUCCUAACAUGUCUACUCUGUUUUUGCGUUGCAUAUCCACCGCACAUGGUUGGGUUAUUCUGUAUUGAUUACCUAGGUCUUUCUAAACCCUUUUUAUCUAUUGUAUAGAUCCUUGUUAGGAGACCUGUCUGUGGUGGGUGUGUAUUCACUAGGUUUGUAGUUGGGUGUCCUUCACACGAAGCACUAAACUGUAUAGGGGUAUAUCUAAUGCUGUCUUUUUAGUCUUUGACUUAUGCCUUUGGUGCAUUAUUCAUCAAUCCUAUACUGCUAGUGCCAGCCCAGUAUGAUGUUCUUCCUUUUAUUUAUGCGUCACUUCAAAGCACGGUUCAGCUCCACCCAUUGCUAGUGGUCUGAUCUAGCUAGCAUAGCACGUAGUUUACUAAUCUAACUCUGAAACUAGCAGAACUGUGUCCAUCAGUUUUCUGGAGGUUGUGGGGUGGUGACUUUUUUUUUUCUCUUUUUUCCCCCCUUGUACCAAGAUUAUUAACGUGAACACUAACAACAGUAGCAGUGAUGGAGGAGCUUCAAAAUUCUGAUUUGCUUUUUACUCUGCGCUUUGGUUGUACAUGAGUGGAAGAGGUAGAGUUUGAGGGGUCAGAAUGUUAUCAGACAUUACUAUUGAAGAUUGCAGUGCCACACUCUCAUCAGUAGAAAGUGAUUCUAGCUAGUGGUAUUUCUGAUUCAAGUGAUGACUCAUGGCAGUUUGCUGCCUGUUGCAUUGACUAGUCAAAAGACUUACUUGAAAAGCUCUAACCAUAUAUUCCCUUCUGGUACUCUUGGUCUUCUGGCAAGAACAAGAUUUAGCACAAGUACUUGGUUAUGGAGUGGGUCACAUGGCAGUGGAGAAACCAACGGAAUCUGGCAUCAGAAACCUUUCCAGAUUGGCGAAACGAACGCUUUUGACAUGUUUUCAAGAGAUUGCGAGUGCAAAUUCCAGCAAUGCCACAGCCAUCCGUUCCCUGGAGUUGAGAGAGCAACUUUGGCCAUGCAUGCUGGGUGGGAGGGAUGGUGUUACUGUGAGCCGUGACAGUGACACUAGCCAAUCGUGGGCGUCUGUGAGCUCGAUGUAUUCAGUAGAGGGUGGAUAGCCGUGUGCGUGUUACGCUGUGUUGUGACGCAGCAUGAGCAUCAAUUUGAAAAACUUUCACCUUCCCCUGUUAGUAGUUGUUUGUGAUGGGGGGGGAGAGCUAGCUGGUGGGUAGAAAUUGUCAGGUGACCAAACUGGAUAAAAAAAUAUUUUAAAAGUAUUCGUUUCCACUACUUGCUUUACCAGUGGAAAAGCGCUAUUAUGGUCAAACUCACCAGGUUUCUGCCACAGUCCACGCUGGUCUGGUCCAUUAUUUUUGAAAGAUUGAUUGAUGAAGUUCAAUUUAGUGCCAUUUUAGUGCUGAAGGUAGAAAAACAACUUGACUACUCUAACUGCUGCUUAUGAAUGCAUGGGGAUUCACUGAUAUUAGGUCUUGUUUAAAACUGCAUGACUAACAUGGGUCAUGUGGUUUGUUUUUGUUUUUUUUCCUUGUAUUAGUAACACUAGCCCUUACGGUAUUACUUGAAUUACUAUAAAUUCAGGGUGUUGGCUGUCAACAUAAUUAGAUGAAUUAUUUCUUCCAUUUAAGCAGUAGUUUAAUUACAUUUAUUUGUUGAAAUAUUUUGAGGUGGAUAUGCAAACAGUAACUGCACUAAUUCACUUUUUUUAUCCAUCAUUCUGUUGCCAGUGCCGUAGCUGCCGAGUAUUUUAUCCUUUUAAGGCUGCAGUUCUCCCUGAAUUUAUUUGUUUGUUUGUUUGUUUAUUUAGAAUUUCUUUUGUUUGUUUGUUUUUCAUCUUGAACCUUACUCUCUUUGUGCUCUUUGUGCAAGUACAGCAUUCUAACAACUUAUAAACUAAUACGUUUACAUCUUUUAACAUGAGAAUAAGUAUAGAGUAAAUUAGUUUAGUCUUUAAGUUUAGAUCUACAAGAGACUUUUAGUUACUUGGUAGCGGACACGUCUGUAUAGUGAGUCAGUGGGAAUAUCCACACACUAUACAGAAAUAGAACUGUCUCUUGUUGGUCCUGCCUUGCUAACACAAUACCUGAAACUAUAAGAGAUGUUUGGUCACCCUCUCAAUUCUUUAUUUUGAUGCGUUUGUUUCCUUUUUUUUUUUAUUUUUAUGAUGUCCUGUGUCGUCAUGGUUAUUUUUUUCCCUCCGUAGGUGUUCAUUCAAAUGUGUUUGGCUGGGCCUAUUCCUUCUCGUGUUGCAUCACUUCACCUCAUGCUAAUCCUGCCAGCAUGCCUGCUUUUAUCUGUGUUUCACUACCUGGACUGUAAUAGGGUUGAUUAGAUCAGGGGAUUGGCCUUAACCUGUUACAGACACGAACUUUGUUUCACACUGUGAAGAGUACUGGGUGUAUUUUGGCAUGUAUGCAGUGGAUUAAUAGUUAAUUCCUCUAACUCUUAACACUUGUGACUUUAAUUUGUUCACAUAACUAUGUUUCUGCUUGUGAUGUAAUUUCUUCUGGCUGCUGAUUUGGUGUUUGUGUGUGUUUGUGGCUGAUUUAUAUAAAACCCUACUGUAGAUGGCGGCAUUUCUCAGUAGUUUAUUGCCUUCCUGUUAAAGGACUGAACAUGAUUAAUGAUAUUUGGGCAUUACUUAAAGGGAUAGUUCACCUAAAAAUGAAAAUACUGUCAUCAGUUACUCCUCCUCAUGUCGUUCCAAACCCAUAAGACGUUCGUCCCUCCGUUUACAGUCCAAGUAACCAAAACUUUCAAGCUCCAAAAAGUUCAUAAAGGCAUCGUAAAAGUAAUCCCAAUUUUAUGAAGCGAUAUGAAUACUUUGUGUGCGCAAAAAAACUAUAAUCAAGACUUUAUUCACCAAAUAUUCAUUUCAGCAUAAAGCUCUGGUGUGCGUUCACGAGAGAGUGAGAGCCACGACACGCAUGAGUGUUGUGUUGACACGAGAGCGGACAUGCUCGCGAUACAGUGGGACCUGGAAGUGCUGAUUUUGACAUGGAGAUGGAGGACUUUUUUUGGGGGGGGUUCCCUCUUGUGUCAUCACAACACGCAUGCGUCGUGGUUACUUGGACUGCAAACGGAGGGACAAAAAUCUCCCAGGUUUCAUUAAAAUGUCUUCAUUUGUGUUCCGAAGAUGAACGAAAUUCUUAUGGGUUUGGAACAACAUGUGGAGUAACCGAUGACGGAAUUUUCAUUUUUGGGUGAACUAUCCCUUUAAGGUGUGGUGUACUCUGGUGUCUGUGCUUGGGUACUUGAAUGGCUAGAUGACACACUCGCCACUCUGACCAGACAUUAUCCAAACCCGUGAUCAGUCGGAGGUUCUCACUGCACAGCAAGCUUUGUGUUUCGAUUUGUCGAUCUGUUCAUUAACUUGGCCUUUUCCUCUCUGCUGUGUUUCUCUUGUGUGGAGCAUGUAGUGGUGGCUGUGUUGUGAAUGGUAGUUGAAUUGCCGUCCUGUAUGCAUGUGCAGAAGGUUGGGGCCCUUUUUUUAACGAAAGGGACACUUGUCAUUUGGCUGAUGAGGAUCCAGCCUCAUCCGUCAGAUGCACGCAGUCAGCUGUGUAAAGGACUCAAUCUACAUGGAUGCGUCUGUCCGACCCAUUUGUGUCCAGACACAUGACCCAGGCUGAUCUGAAGAACUCUACAUUCUGGCUACGAGCCAGCGUCGGAGCCACAGUAUUCGCAGUGUUGGGCUUCGCCAUGUAUAAAGCGC